rnacentral:tRNA from 1 species
AGCCUUGAGGUGUUGUACAUAUCAGAUUGCAAAUCUGAAGACGCAGGCUAGCCGUCUGCCGGGGCUU